GACGAACCGUGCGAACGUUGUUCGGAAUCACUGGGCUUAAAGGGCGCGUAGGCGGGUCGGCAAGUCCGGGGUGAAAGCCCCCAGCUCAACUGGGGAAGUGCCUUGGAAACUGCCGGUCUCGAGGGAGGUAGGGGCCUGUGGAACUUCGGGUGGAGCGGUGAAAUGCGUAGAGAUCGGAAAGAACACCAACGGCGAAAGCGCUCUGCUGGGCCGACACUGACACUGAGAGACGAAAGCUAGGGGAGCGAAUGGG
rnacentral:rRNA from 1 species